AGGUAAGCUACUAAGAGCGAAUGGUGGAUGCCUUGACUGGUAAAGGCGAUGAAGGACGUACUAGACUGCGAUAAGCUACGGGGAGCUGUCAAGAAGCUUUGAUCCGUAGAUUUCCGAAUGGGGCAACCCAAUGUAUAGAGAUAUACAUUACCUAUAUAGGAGCGAACGAGGGGAAUUGAAACAUCUUAGUACCCUCAGGAAAAGAAAUCAAUAGAGAUUGCGUCAGUAGCGGCGAGCGAAAGCGCAAGAGGGCAAACCCAGUGCUUGCACUGGGGGUUGUAGGACUGCAAUGUGCAAGAGGUAAGUUUAGCAGAACAUUCUGGAAAGUAUAACCAUAGAGGGUGAUAGUCCCGUAUGCGAAAAACAAACCUUAGCUAGCAGUAUCCUGAGUAGGGCGGGACACGAGGAAUCCUGUCUGAAUCCGGGUCGACCACGAUCCAACCCUAAAUACUAAUACCAGAUCGAUAGUGCACAAGUACCGUGAGGGAAAGGUGAAAAGAACUGAGGUGAUCAGAGUGAAAUAGAACCUGAAACCAUUUGCUUACAAUCAUUCAGAGCCCUAUGUAGCAAUACAGGGUGAUGGACUGCCUUUUGCAUAAUGAGCCUGCGAGUUGUGGUGUCUGGCAAGGUUAAGCAAACGCGAAGCCGUAGCGAAAGCGAGUCUGAAUAGGGCGCUUAGUCAGAUGCUGCAGACCCGAAACGAAGUGAUCUAUCCAUGAGCAAGUUGAAGCUAGUGUAAGAACUAGUGGAGGACUGAACCCAUAGGCGUUGAAAAGCCCCGGGAUGACUUGUGGAUAGGGGUGAAAGGCCAAUCAAACUUCGUGAUAGCUGGUUCUCUCCGAAAUAUAUUUAGGUAUAGCGUUGUGUCGUAAUAUAAGGGGGUAGAGCACUGAAUGGGCUAGGGCAUACACCAAUGUACCAAACCCUAUCAAACUCCGAAUACCUUAUAUGUAAUCACAGCAGUCAGGCGGCGAGUGAUAAAAUCCGUCGUCAAGAGGGAAACAACCCAGACUACCAGCUAAGGUCCCUAAGUCUUACUUAAGUGGAAAACGAUGUGAAGUUACUUAAACAACCAGGAGGUUGGCUUAGAAGCAGCCAUCCUUUAAAGAAAGCGUAAUAGCUCACUGGUCUAGUGAUUUUGCGCGGAAAAUAUAACGGGGCUAAAGUAAGUACCGAAGCUGUAGACUUAGUUUACUAAGUGGUAGGAGAGCGUUCUAUUUGCGUCGAAGGUAUACCGGUAAGGAGUGCUGGAGCGAAUAGAAGUGAGCAUGCAGGCAUGAGUAGCGAUAAUUAAUGUGAGAAUCAUUAACGCCGUAAACCCAAGGUUUCCUACGCGAUGCUCGUCAUCGUAGGGUUAGUCGGGUCCUAAGUCGAGUCCGAAAGGGGUAGACGAUGGCAAAUUGGUUAAUAUUCCAAUACCAACAUUAGUGUGCGAUGGAAGGACGCUUAGGGCUAAGGGGGCUAGCGGAUGGAAGUGCUAGUCUAAGGUCGUAGGAGGUUAUACAGGCAAAUCCGUAUAACAAUACUCCGAGAACUGAAAGGCUUUUUGAAGUCUUCGGAUGGAUAGAAGAACCCCUGAUGCCGUCGAGCCAAGAAAAGUUUCUAAGUUUAGCUAAUGUUGCCCGUACCGUAAACCGACACAGGUGGGUGGGAUGAGUAUUCUAAGGCGCGUGGAAGAACUCUCUUUAAGGAACUCUGCAAAAUAGCACCGUAUCUUCGGUAUAAGGUGUGGUUAGCUUUGUAUUAGGAUUUACUCCGAAAGCAAGGAAACUUACAACAAAGAGUCCCUCCCGACUGUUUACCAAAAACACAGCACUCUGCUAACUCGUAAGAGGAUGUAUAGGGUGUGACGCCUGCCCGGUGCUCGAAGGUUAAUUGAUGGGGUUAGCAUUAGCGAAGCUCUUGAUCGAAGCCCGAGUAAACGGCGGCCGUAACUAUAACGGUCCUAAGGUAGCGAAAUUCCUUGUCGGUUAAAUACCGACCUGCAUGAAUGGCGUAACGAGAUGGGAGCUGUCUCAAAGAGGGAUCCAGUGAAAUUGUAGUGGAGGUGAAAAUUCCUCCUACCCGCGGCAAGACGGAAAGACCCCGUGGACCUUUACUACAGCUUGACACUGCUACUUGGAUAAGAAUGUGCAGGAUAGGUGGGAGGCUUUGAGUAUAUGACGCCAGUUGUAUAUGAGCCAUUGUUGAGAUACCACUCUUUCUUAUUUGGGUAGCUAACCAGCUUGAGUUAUCCUCAAGUGGGACAAUGUCUGGUGGGUAGUUUGACUGGGGCGGUCGCCUCCCAAAUAAUAACGGAGG
rnacentral:rRNA from 1 species